CUUUAUAUCAUUUUCGUCUCUUUUUCUUCGUUUCUUCCGUCGAUAGCAUAAGCAGAAAUGGGAGAAAACCCUAGAUCCCCUUAAUAUCUCAAAUGAUCUCGUUAAUCUCCUAACUCAUCUCUGCUUCUCCUUAAUCUCAAACUCCUAGUGUCACAUGGUUAAUCAUUUUGGGUUUUCUUUUGGCUGCUUAAUUGUCAUAUAUUGCCAACGAAAAACUUCGUUGGUUGCAGGUAAUGAAUGACUUGGAUACUGAAUGUUUUGUAAUUUCGGUAUGAUUAUAAGACUUGGGUUCUGCUUAAAAGUUGAAUUCGGAUGUGAAGGAGUUAAUAAAGGAGACGAAUACAACAAGGAAAACGCCAACAGUACUGCACAUGAGUUGUUUGAUAUAAGGCCUCAAAGAAUGGGAAAUGGAUGGAUUAAGUGAUUGUGUCUGAUCACUUGAGAGAAAACAGAGACAAGGGCACUGAUGUAUAGACGGUGUAUAGAACUGCAUCUAAAAGCAUUCCUUGCUUCUAUAGUAGAAAGGUAUAUUGCAUGAUCUUUGGUUGCUGAUAACUUUUGCAAGCCAGUGUUGACUACAUGUUUGUCAUUUGAGAUUUAUGAAUUAUGUUUUCAAGGCAAUCAAAUAACAUGGUUGCAGGAGAGUUACAUCCAUGGUGACUCCUACACAUCUCUGUUAACCAUUGAUUGCAAUUAUGUAUGCUGUAAUAUUCCAAGUUGUAAUCCUUAGGUAGACUCUGAUUUCAUCUUACUACUACCGUGGUAGUUUUUUUCUUUUUGUUUUUUGUUUACAUGUAUAUAUAAAUCUCUUUUGUCCACAACUUGUUUUUCAGUUCAAUCUUAUUACUGAAGUGAGCAAUAAAAAGUUAA